rnacentral:rRNA from 1 species
GAUGAACGCUGGCGGCGUGCCUAAUACAUGCAAGUCGAGCGAACAGACGAGGAGCUUGCUCCUCUGACGUUAGCGGCGGACGGGUGAGUAACACGUGGAUAACCUACCUAUAAGACUGGGAUAACUUCGGGAAACCGGAGCUAAUACCGGAUAAUAUAUUGAACCGCAUGGUUCAAUAGUGAAAGACGGUUUUGCUGUCACUUAUAGAUGGAUCCGCGCCGCAUUAGCUAGUUGGUAAGGUAACGGCUUACCAAGGCGACGAUGCGUAGCCGACCUGAGAGGGGGAUCGGCCAAACUGGAACUGAGCCACGGUCCAGACUCCUACGGGAGGCAGCAGUAGGGAAUCUUCCGCAAUGGGCGAAAGCCUGACGGAGCAACGCCGCGUGAGUGAUGAAGGUCUUCGGAUCGUAAAACUCUGUUAUUAGGGAAGAACAAAUGUGUAAGUAACUAUGCACGUCUUGACGGUACCUAAUCAGAAAGCCACGGCUAACUACGUG